UACGUAGGGUGCGAGCGUUAAUCGGAAUUACUGGGCGUAAAGCGUGCGCAGGCGGCUUGCUAAGACAGGUGUGAAAGCCCCGAGCUUAACUUGGGAAUGGCGCUUGUGACUGGCAGGCUGGAGUGUGGCAGAGGGAGGUGGAAUUCCACGUGUAGCAGUGAAAUGCGUAGAUAUCUGGAGGAAUACCGGUGGCGAAGGCGGCAUCCUGGACCGAGAUUGACGCUGAUGAGCGAAAGCUAGGGGAGCAAACGGG
rnacentral:rRNA from 1 species